CUUCUAAAGAUUAAAAAAACCCCUACGAUUAAAAACCUCAGGUCCCUCAGGCAAUCAUACCAGAUAUUGAAACAAAGCAAUAACAUAAGGACUGCAGUAUUCAUUUUAUUUUUAUAUUAUUUAUUUAUUCUUCCUUAGUUUCUUGAGAUUAUCAUCCGCUGAGGGUGGAAGGGGAGUGAGCAGACACACUCAGGAGGUGUCUUGAGAUUAUCAUCCGCUGAGGGUGGAAGGGGAUAGAGCAGGCACUCGGCAGGUGUCUUGAGAUUAUCAUCCGCUGAGGGUGGAAGGGGAUAGAGCAGGCACUCGGCAGGUGUCUUGAGAUUAUCAUCCGCUGAGGGUGGAAGGGGAUAGAGCACACACUCGGAAGGUGUCUUGAGGCUCAGGGAGUUAUCAAUUAUAGAAUGUUGUUGAGUUGGAGGAGGUG
rnacentral:lncRNA from 1 species